AAAGAAGAUUUGAGAGCUGCUGCACUGAAGCACAGGAUGCUUUUGAGCUCUAUAAAAAUAAAGGUCCCAUGGAUGUGACAGGGCAGAGAGGAAGAUACAGGGGCACAGCAGUUAUACCCUACCUAAGCGUGUAUGUAGAUAGAGGAAGAAGAACGGCAACUAACAACCAGCUAAUUGCAGCGUGCGGGGCAGGGGGAGGAUGGCUGGGACCUAACUUGUCACCCAGUCGUGGACUCUGUGGAUGCCGUGCCGUGACGGAGGGCCGAGGGCUGAGCCGAGGAUUUGCAUGUAGGAGGAGAGGCGAUGGCCGUGCAGCGUGCACCCGAGGCUGCUCUCAGCCUGCUGAUGGCAUAUUUGGCAACAGAAUUUGGCAGAGCUGCAUCACAUUCAGUCUGAAAAUAUCCCUUUCUUGAUGAGUUCUGCAAAGCACUUUGAAGAGGUGGGAACCUUUUUUAAGGGAAGAAAAUUAAGUAGAAUAAACCCAAAAGGUCAACGGUAACA
rnacentral:lncRNA from 1 species